rnacentral:rRNA from 1 species
GUGGAUUAGAUACCCUGGUAGUCCUGGCAGUAAACGGUGCACGUUUGGUGUGGGAGGAUUCGACCCCUUCUGCGCCGGAGCUAACGCGUUAAACGUGCCGCCUGGGGAGUACGGUCGCAAGAUUAAAACUCAAAGAAAUUGACGGGGGCCCGCACAAGCGGUGGAGUAUGUGGCUCAAUUCGAUGCAACGCGAAGAACCUUACCUGGCCUUGACAUGCAUCUCUAAACCGGUGAAAGCCGGCGAGUGUCGAAAGACACAAUUUGCACAGGUGCUGCACGGCCGUCGACAACU